AUGCAAUCAACGAGAUAUAGAUGAACGAAUGAUAAAGAAACAACAGACAUGUAGAGACUACGAUACUGAAUAAAAGAACAGAGGAAGGUAAAACGAUCUCACCGACUACCAGCUCGAAGCACCCACCUGUCACUGUCGCGUCGGAACAAUGAGUGCGCAUGGAGUAUACCGGACCUAAGAAGAUCCACUAAGUCAGUAUCCAACCCGCUAACCUGAAGUACACAACUCACAAACCCCCACACAAGUCCCCGAAUCGGUUUCCCAAAAUCGAUCACCGUAACUCACCGGAAGUCCCGAAAACCACGUCGGGACGCCGUCGGGACCCACUAAGUGUCCCGAAACUCACCGACUCGUGUCACGAGUCACCCGCUGCCAUAAAACACUCCUGUUUGGAUGUCUUGGCAGCGAACACAAGAUAACAUCACUACACAAUUAUCGCCGGAUAAUUGUACGAAUACGGGUUCCCGGAAGCGCCUAUUUCGACACCGGAACCCACCGUCGCUCACCCAUCAUCACUGAACCCACAAAAUGAUGAUAGUGACCAGCCAAUAAGGCUCAGUGACAAUUCACAGGAUAAACAAACCACGUCGGAAGAAAUCCGAACUGAAACGGCGUUCUUUCGGCGAAUUUCGCCGAAAAACGCACCGAAAUCGACUUCUCGAUUUCCGCGAAGGCUAUCAGAUCAUGGACAAUCAGUCCGAA
rnacentral:lncRNA from 1 species